rnacentral:lncRNA from 1 species
GGAUGGCACGGUCCCCAGAGGGGGUGGCACCAUCUGCAGGGGGAUGGCACCAUCCUUGGGGGGAUGUCCCCAUCACUGGGGGGAUGGCACCGUCCCCAGGGGGGGUGGCACGGUCUCGAGAGGGGGAUGUCAUCGUCCCAGGGGGAUGGCACCAUCCCCAGAGGGGAUGGCACCAUCUUGGGUGGGAUGUCACCAUCACUGGGGGUAUGUCCCCAUCCCCAGAGGGGGUGGCACCAUCCCCAGAAGGGUGUCACCAUCACUGGAGGGAUGGCACCAUCACUGGGGGGAUGUCACUGUCCCCAGGGGGGGUGGCACGGUCUCCAGAGGGGGAUGUCAUCGUCCCAGGGGGAUGGCACCAUCCCCAGAGGGGAUGGCACCAUCUUGGGUGGGAUGUCACCAUCACUGGGGGGAUGUCACUGUCCCCAGGGGGGGUGGCACGGUCUCGAGAGGGGGAUGUCAUCGUCCCAGGGGGAUGGCACCAUCCCCAGAGGGGAUGGCACCAUCUUGGGUGAGAUGUCACCAUCCCUGGGGGGGUGUCACCCACCCCCGGGGGGGUGGCACCAUCACUGGGGAGGAUGUCAUGGUCACCAGAGGGGGAUGGCACCAUCCUGAGGGGGAUGGCACCAUCUUGGGUGAGAUGUCACCAUCACUGGGGGGAUGUCACUGUCCCCAGGGGGGGUGGCAUGGUCUCCAGAGGCGGAUGUCAUCAUCCCAGGGGGAUGGCACCAUCCUAGGGGGGAUGUCACCAUCACUGGGGGGAUGGCACCGUCCCCAGGGAGGGAUGGCACCUUCUCCAGGGGGAUGGCACCAUUGCUGGGAUGAGGAUGACAUUGUCCCACGGGGGGUGGCAUGGUCUCCAGAGGUGGAUGUCAUUGUCCCAGGGGGAUGGCACUAUCACUGGGGGGAUGGCACCAUCACUGGGGAGGAUGUCAUGGUCACCAGAGGGGGAUGGCACCAUCCUGAGGGGGAUGGCACCAUCUCCAGGGGGAUGGCACCAUCUUGGGUGGGAUGUCCCCAUCACUGGGGAGAUGUCACCGUCCCUAGAGGGGGUGGCACCAUCCCCAAGAGUAUGUCACCAUCUCCAGGGGGAUGGCACCAUCCUGGGUGGGAUGGCACCAUCACUGGGGUGAGGAUGUCACUGUCCCCGGGGGGGUGGCAUGGUCUCCAGAGGGGGAUGUCAUCAUCCCAGGAGGAUGGCACUGUCACUGGGGGGAUGGCACCAUCCCCAGGGAGGGAUGGCACCAUCCUGGGUGGGAUGUCACCAUCACUGGGGGGAUGUCCCCAUCCUCAGAGGGGGUGGCACCAUCUCCAGGGGGAUGGCACCAUCUUGGGUGGGAUAUCACUGUCCCCAGAGGGGGUGGCACCAUCCCCAGAAGGAUGUCACCAUCUCCAGGGGGAUGGCACCAUCCUGGGUGGGUUGUCCCCAUCCCUGGUGGGGGGGAUGUCCCCAUCACUGGGGGGAUGUCCCUGUCCCCAGGGGUGGGGUGGGGGUGGGGUGGGCUCAGCAGAGCUGGAAGUAGAAGUCGAGGAGGUGGGUGGCAUCGGGGUGGCGGGAGAGGCCCAGGGGCUGGUGCCCGCGGGCCGAGGUGCAGAGGAACCAGCCGGGGUUGGCGACGGACUCGAAGCGCCACAGCCCGUCCUUGUAGGAGCGGAAGAAGGUGAAGGCGGCCGAGGCCUCCCCGGCCCGGGGCAGCUCCCGGAUGUCAGCGUCCUGCCACCAACCCCCCCCGGGACGUCACCACCCGCGGUGGCCACCUCCAGGGCAACCCCACCUGGCUCUGCCCUGCUCCACAGACCCACGGUGGCACCAGCCCCACCAUGGCCCAUCCCCGUGGUCCCCAUCCCCAUGGUGUCCCCUUGGUGUCCCCAGCCCCACAAUGUCCCAUCCCUGUGAUCCCCUUGUUGGCCCCAGCCCCACAAUGUCCCACCCCAGUGAUCUCCAUCCCUGUGGUCCCCAUGGUGGCCCCACAAUGUCCCACCCCAG